CAGAGCCGCGGGAAUACGUAGGUGGCAAGCGUUGUCCGGAAUUAUUGGGCGUAAAGGGCUCGCAGGCGGUUUCUUAAGUCUGAUGUGAAAGCCCCCGGCUCAACCGGGGAGGGUCAUUGGAAACUGGGAAACUUGAGUGCAGAAGAGGAGAGUGGAAUUCCACGUGUAGCGGUGAAAUGCGUAGAGAUGUGGAGGAGCACCAGUGGCGAAGGCGACUCUCUGGUCUGUAACUGACGCUGAGGAGCGAAAGCGUGGGGAGCGAACAGGAUUAGAUACCCGAGUAGUCCCUGUCUCUUAUACA
rnacentral:rRNA from 1 species